rnacentral:rRNA from 1 species
UACGUAGGGGCAAGCGUUGUCCGGAUUUAUUGGGCGUAAAGAGCGUGUAGGCGGCCUUACAGGUCAGCUGUGAAAACUCGAGGCUCAACCUCGAGACGUCGGUUGAAACCGUAAGGCUAGAGUCCGGAAGAGGAGAGUGGAAUUCCCGGUGUAGCGGUGAAAUGCGCAGAUAUCGGGAAGAACACCCGUGGCGAAGGCGGCUCUCUGGGACGGUACUGACGCUGAGACGCGAAAGCGUGGGGAGCGAACAGG